rnacentral:rRNA from 1 species
GGAAUUCAAGACGGCUGGCGGGUCUCGCGCUCGUUCGGCCGUUCGAUAUUUCCGUCGCCGUGUCAGACGUCGCGACCUGUUUGUCGUCGGUCCUUGCUCGGAGGAAUUGCGAUCGAGUUCGUUGCGGGCGCGUUUCGGCGUGCUCCGCGGCGAAGACGCGACUCUCUGGCUGACGACGGACAGUAAGCAACGGUGUCUGGCGCCGUGUCUCGCACUCGGCGUCGGUGCCGGUCAGCGACGAUUUCUUCGGGCCUCUUUCCGACCCGUCUUGAAACACGGACCAAGGAGUCUAACAUGCGCGCGAGUCGCGGGGUUUCGAGCGUACCACGGUGCGCUCGUUACUUCCGAAACCCGUACGUUGAAGGCGUAAUGAAAGUGAAUAGGGAAGAUGGCGUUCCGAGUCCACGUACCGUGAUCGAGUAUCGCGGCCGGACGUCCGCACUCCCGGGGCGUCUCAAUGGUUCGCCGCGGACGCGGACGAUCGUCUUUCGGGGCGGUCGUCGGUCUGUGGCGGUCCGA